AAUGAAAAAAUACAUAAUACAGCUUGACCUGUGAAGUUUUAAAGUCAUAUCCACGAUGGAUAAUCUUUGACCUGGUUACUUAUGUUUUCCAUGCAACCAAGCAGAAAGUCAAAGCUCACAAAUUUCUCCAAAUCCAUCUACCGCCUGAGGCUACUAAAUAUCACCAAGAAUAUGAAACGAGAAGAAGAUAACAUAUUCUUAGCCUCCAAUGAAUCUGC
rnacentral:misc_RNA from 1 species